rnacentral:rRNA from 1 species
GACCUGAGAUAAGGCAAGGCUACCCGCUGAACUUAAGCAUAUCAAUAGGCG